rnacentral:rRNA from 1 species
UACGAAGGGGGCUAGCGUUGCUCGGAAUUACUGGGCGUAAAGCGCACGUAGGCGGCUUCUUAAGUCGGGGGUGAAAGCCCGGGGCUCAACCUCGGAAUUGCCUUCGAUACUGACUGUCUUGAGUACGGGAGAGGUGUGUGGAACUCCGAGUGUAGAGGUGAAAUUCGUAGAUAUUCGGAAGAACACCAGUGGCGAAGGCGACACACUGGCCCGUUACUGACGCUGAGGCGCGAAAGCGUGGGGAGCAAACAGG